GUGUUCACUUUGGCAGCACAUUUACUAACUGAAAUGAUAUAGAGAAGAUUAAUAUGGUCCCUAUACAAGCAGGAUAUGCAAAUUUAUAAAGUGGUCAACAUUUUU
ensembl:snRNA U6 U6 spliceosomal RNA